AACCAGGCAAACCCUCGGUUUCCGUGUCCAACUUUGACUGUCCGUCUUAUAUGAAAUUUUUUUAUAAUUCAUAUUUUCAUUGUUGUUAGAUGAUAAAACAUGAUUAAUAUUUUAUGCAUGACUUGUCUUUUUAAUUUUUUUCAUAAUUUUUUUAAAUAAGACGGACGGUCAAACGUUGGACAGGAAACCAGGGUUUGUCUUUUU
rfam:Oryza nivara chromosome 7, whole genome shotgun sequence.